rnacentral:SRP_RNA from 1 species
GCUGGGCAUGGUGGCGCAUGCCUGUAGUCCCAGCUACUCCGGAGGCUGAGGUGGGAGGAUCACUUGAGCCCAGGAGUUCUGGGCUGCAGUGCGCUAUGCUGAUCGGGUGUCCGCACUAAGUUCGGCAUCAAUAUGGUGACCUCCCGGGAGCGGGGGACCACCAGGUGGCCUAAGGAGGGGUGAACCGGCCCAGGUCGGAAACGGAGCAGGUCAAAACUCCCAUGCUGAUCAGCAGUGGGAUGGCGCCUGUGAAUAGCCACUGCACUCCAGCCUGCGCAACACAGCGAGACCCCCAUCUCU